rnacentral:tRNA from 1 species
GCCUGUGGCGCAGCGGUAGCGCAGAGGACUCAUAAUCCUUUGGUCGCAGGUUCGAAUCCUGCCGGGCC